rnacentral:rRNA from 1 species
GUCGUCAGCUCGUGUCGUGAGAUGUUGGUUAAGUCCGCAACGAGCGCAACCCCUCGUCCUAUGUUGCCAGCAUUAAAGUUGGGGGACGUCAUAGGAGACUGCCGGCGUCAAGCCGGAGGAGGGUGGGGGAUGACGUCAAGUCAUCAUGCCCCUUAUGUCCUGGGCUGCACACGUGCUACAAUGGCCGGUACAAUGGGCUGCGAUGCCGCGAGGCGGAGCGAAUCCCAUAAAACCGGUCCCAGUUCGGAUCGGAGGCUGCAACCCGCCUCCGUGAAGUCGGAGUUGCUAGUAAUCGCGGAUCAGCAUGCCGCGGUGAAUACGUUCCCGGGCCUU